GGUAUGAUGAAGUAUAUAUAGAGGUUGUGAGUGAUCAAUAAGGAAUCGAUCACUUCUUGUAGGAGGAGAGAAUAUCCUAUGUGAUCUCAUAGGAAGAUGACUCUGAGAGUCUCUGGCCAGAGCAGGGAUGAAUAGUAGAAAUAAUUUUUACUGAUUCAUCAAUCGAGUCAUCAUCAUCAAAUCGAGAUACAUAUGGAUAGAUAUUUAGGUUUGACAUAUUUUCAUACC
rnacentral:lncRNA from 1 species